rnacentral:rRNA from 1 species
UACGUAGGGUGCGAGCGUUGUCCGGAAUUAUUGGGCGUAAAGAGCUCGUAGGCGGUUUGUCGCGUCGACUGUGAAAACCUACAGCUUAACUGUGGGCUUGCAGUCGAUACGGGCAGACUUGAGUUCGGUAGGGGAGACUGGAAUUCCUGGUGUAGCGGUGAGAUGCGCAGAUAUCAGGAGGAACACCGGUGGCGAAGGCGGGUCUCUGGGCCGAUACUGACGCUGAGGAGCGAAAGCGUGGGGAGCGAACAGG